UUAAUUGAGUACUAAUAUUUAAAUUUCCGGAGCACUAGUUUAUUAAUAAUGUGGCUUCCAAAAUUCACAGUGGCAACUGAUUUAAAACUUUAAACUGAUUAAAACAGAUUUGAAAUAUCCGCGCACUAAUUUAUUAACAACUUUAAUCAGAAAUACUCUUUUAUGUGAAACACACUUUUAUGUGUAAAACACGCAAAUUAAAUGGUGGGAGUUGAGCUGUCAAAAUUACUUCCUUAACUGUAGCUUAACUUAGCUGUCAAAAUAAUUUUCUGCUUCCAAAUUUUCGAGGAAAAUGCUGCUCCCUGGCAAUUUCGAAUAGAAGGAUUUUAUUCUCGAGAAAAGUAAAAUCCGCAAGAAAUGAAAUCCUCGGGGGAAUAUUCAGUAUUGGUCUGAUUUUGACAGCUCACACCGCACAAGUAAAAACAAAAUACAUGUAAAUUUUUGUUUGUGUGUAUUAAUUCGCCUUGGUAAAAAUUUUCCAGUCAAAAAUUUUUAGCUUUCCCUCCCAAAGAACUGACAUUUGCUCUCUCAAUUUCCUCUACUUUUGAAAAUCAUUUGCUACAUGAGAACGCAUAUUGACACGCUCUAACCGCAACAGUUCGGAACAAUUAUUUGAAAUAGAGCACUCUUAAAAUUUUCUUUUAAACUUUCCAACACUGUUUUCGCGCGAUCAGCUGACCAGCCGAAACAAAGCAGAAAAUUAAACAAAACAAAUUCACCGGUAAUUGCAAUUUUUACAACUUUCGAUACAAAGUGAAGUUGACCGGCAUUUGUAAAUUGUUUAUAUGAAUUCUAAGGAAUUUUCGAACCACCAACCGAACACGGCAUUACAAAGUAUCAAUUUUAAAUUGGAUAGUAGGUAACGUAUUCAAACCGCAAACAACUACCUUGGGGAGAAAACUGCGGCACACGUAGUACCAUUGCGAUAUAAAUCCUUGUCAGACAAUCUUGCGGCAAAGUAAGGCCACAAACACUUAUUAUGUUUAAGACAACUUGCUUUGAUAUAUGGCGUCAAGAGAAAGAAAUGCCCCGGCUUAUCACACUUUGCAAGGAGCUGGAUGAUAAGCUGGCUGGAGGCAUCGUUGCGGGAUUGAUUACAGAGUUUUGCGGCGGACCUGGUUGUGGUAAAACACAAAUGUGUUUGCAACUGUGUAUUAAUGUACAAUUUCCUCGGACAGUCGGUGGACUUCAAGGUAAAGCUGUUUAUCUGGACACGAAUCAGGACUUUAGUCCCACACGUUUGCUAGAAAUUGCCGUUUGCACAGAGAAGCGCUUCCACCGAACCUUACAUAAAACCGAUAUCCAUACUCAUGCCCAAAAUUCUUUCACAGCUAAUUCUAUAAUGAAUGGUGUUACAUAUAUUUACUGUCAAGGCUUUUUAAUGCUACAGGCUGCCGUAAAGAAAUUGCAUGAAAUGUUAAUGGAGGAUAAAGAGAUCAAACUAAUCGUCAUUGAUUCGUUCUCUUUUCCACUGCGUGUGAUUGAGGAAGUUUCCGAACGUACAGGAAUACUUUAUACCUUAUUGAGCGAGUUGCAACACUUAGCAGUGGAGUACAGACUCAUUGUUGUCAUAACAAACGAGUUGACCACGCGUGUGAAUGGGAAUGAUUGGAAAAUAUGUCCUGCACUUGGCGACAGCCAUGCACACAAAAUUAAUCAGCGCAUCAUCCUCAGUAAAUGUAAUGAACAAAAGUAUUAUGUUGCGUUGGUGGAGAAAUCUAACGUAGUACAACAAAUAGCGAUACCUUUUGUGAUCAAACAAAAUGGCAUACGAGAUAUAUCGUAACCCAUAUACAUACAUCCAGAGUCGCUUAAAAAUCAAAUCACAAACAAAAAAAUGUUCGAUUUAUAUGCACAUACAUACACAUAAAAAAUAAAAGGGUAAGUGCGCUAAUGUAAUAUAAUAUUUUUAGUGUCAUGAUUAAUAUUUGUGACGUUAAAAGUCUCAGUUACCGUGAAGAGAAUCCCAGCGGUAUUCAUAUUUGCCUUAACAUGAAUGUAGGCAUGUGAAUGCCAGUGCAUCUUUGUGAAUAUUUGAUUGCUCUGUUUCUGUGACGAGACAGAAUAUUGCUCUCAGUUAAACUUUGUGUACAUAAAUUUUUGAAGCAAAAUGCGCUGUAUAAACGUAAUAAAAUGCGUUACUUCUACCUCUACUGCUCUACUCAAGAUCAUGAUUCAUGCAUAGAGUGUACUUAUUGUAUGUAAGUAAGUAUCUAAUUGUAUUGUUUUUUCUUAUUCAUAAAAAUUUGUUUGUUUGUAUUUGCAGUGAUUUUGAUACUAGCCCGGAAAUAAUGUAAUGAAAUGACGAAAUAAUAAGUUAGUUAAUGGCGCGUUAUUUAUUUCAUUAACUUAAGCAACUAAAUAA